rnacentral:ncRNA from 1 species
CAUCGCGAGGUGGAAUCUGAAGGAAGCUGGAGGCAAACUUCCGGCCCGAGGAACACGAACAUCAUCAGGCACAAGGAAUGGGACGAGCUUGCUGAACAAAGCAAAGUCCAAUACACUACACGGACAUUCCAGUGUAAAUGGUGCGGGUAGAUGGAGGGAAAGUGAG